UUGCUGAGACCGCACGUCAUCAUAAACUCCACUCUGAUAUGCCGAGGCAAAACACGCUAAACAUUUUUUGGCUGCUGCAGUAGCUCAGCUCAGCUCAGCUCAUUCAGUUCAGCUCGCUCAGCUCAGCUCCGCUCCGGACCGGACUCAGCUGCCAAGCUAUAAGGUAAGACGAUAUGUAUAAGUUAAUGUAUUUGUAGUGUUAGUUGUUUUAGCUCUGUGGUCUUAACCUGAACCUGCUGGCGUUGCCUCUCUUCCCAGGCAGUUAGCUAACUAGCUAGCUAGCUAACGAUAGCUAAACAGUGGCCAUAGUUAAAAUGGAAUUGGAAUUACUUUUGAGAACGACCGUAAUGCAAAUAAUAUUUACUGUAACCGAAGCUUUAACGUAGAAGCAUUGUCCGGUCAUUAAGUCAAUGCACUAACCAGAGCUAGGCUGAUAAGCCAAUCUAAGCUAAAUCAAAGAACCGUCUUUGGCUAAAUUCGCUAAGCUAGCGUUAAGUUAUAUAAGUUUGUGGCACCCACAAUUAACCUAGGCAACUGGGGGCAAUAUCAAGUGCAUUUUGAAUAGCCUGAAGAAGUAAGUUUAUGUUAAUAUUACAUAAAUAAGGCAAUUUAAAAUAGUGUGUUGUGGGAAAACAUUUAUUAAAAUAGCUUAAUAUGAUGUGUGAGAAUUAAAACGGCACGAUAAUUCUGGUCAGGUGUUAAAUGUGUAUUCCCGCCUUUAGCUUAGCGUUAGCUUAGCGUUAGCUUAGCGUUAGCUAAGCCAUAGCAUGAAGAAGUAAGUUUAUGUUAAUAUUACAUAAAUAAGGCAAUUUAAAAUAGUUUGUUGUGGGGAAAAAAAAUAUUAAAAUAGCUUAAUAUGAUGUGUGAGAAUUAAAACGGCACGAUAAUUCUCGUCAGGUGUUAAAUGUGUAUUCCCGCCUUUAGCUUAGCGUUAGCUUAGCGUUAGCUUAGCAUUAGCUAAGCCAUAGCAUGAAGAAGUAAGUUUAUGUGAAUGUUACAUAAAUAAGGCAAUUUAAAAUAGUUUGUUGUGGGACAAAAAUAAAUGGCCAUCUUCAACAUUUUCUGAGAUUUCUAAUUUGUCUUUUUCUACUUGUGCAGAUGGAGUCAUGAAAUGUGACGGGACAGCCACCGAGGACUUCAUACUUCUGAGCAUCUCAAACAUGCACCACAAAGACGUGGAGGACACACCGCUGUCUCUCAGGACCUAGAAUCUUAAUGAAAGUAUAAUGAUGUUAAGGGAAGGUCUAAUGGAAAGGUGUACUGUAAAGUUGUAAUGGUGUUAAGGGAAGGUGUAGUGGAAAGGUGUGAUAGUGUUGAGGGAAGGUGUAGUGUUGAGGGAAGGGGUAAUGUUAAAGGUGUAAUAGUGUUGAGGGAAGGUGUAAUGUUAAAGGUGUAAUAGUGUUAAGGGAAGGUAUAAUAUUGUUAAGGGAAGGUGUAAUGUAAAGGUGUAAUAGUGUUGAGGGAAGGUAUAAUAUUGUUAUGGGAAGGUGUAAUGUAAAGCUGUAAUAGUUUUAAGGGAAGGUAAAUGUUUAGUGAAAUUGUUAUGGUGUGAAUCUAAGGUGUAUGUUAUGUUGAUGUAAAAUAAAGGCAUUAACCCCAAAUGA